rnacentral:rRNA from 1 species
UACGUAGGGUGCAAGCGUUAAUCGGAAUUACUGGGCGCAAAGCGUGCGCAGGCGGUGAUGUAAGACAGGUGUGAAAUCCCCGGGCUUAACCUGGGAACUGCAUUUGUGACUGCAUCGCUGGAGUGCGGCAGAGGGGGAUGGAAUUCCGCGUGUAGCAGUGAAAUGCGUAGAUAUGCGGAGGAACACCGAUGGCGAAGGCAAUCCCCUGGGCCUGCACUGACGCUCAUGCACGAAAGCGUGGGGAGCAAACAGG